rnacentral:ribozyme from 1 species
GGGAGCGAGGGUGUCAGCCCCUCCUCCCGCCGUAAAGCCACUAUGACCGGGUUGCAAGUCCCGGCUGCGAUAGGCUGAGCACGGU